UGGGGAAUUUUGGACAAUGGGCGAAAGCCUGAUCCAGCAAUGCCGCGUGUGUGAAGAAGGCCUUCGGGUUGUAAAGCACUUUUGUCCGGAAAGAAAUCCUUGGCUCUAAUACAGUCGGGGGAUGACGGUACCGGAAGAAUAAGCACCGGCUAACUACGUGCCAGCAGCCGCGGUAAUACGUAGGGUGCAAGCGUUAAUCGGAAUUACUGGGCGUAAAGCGUGCGCAGGCGGUUUGCUAAGACCGAUGUGAGAUCCCCGGGCUCAACCUGGGAACUGCAUUGGUGACUGGCAGGCUAGAGUAUGGCAGAGGGGGGUAGAAUUCCACGUGUAGCAGUGAAAUGCGUAGAGAUGUGGAGGAAUACCGAUGGCGAAGGCAGCCCCCUGGGCCAAUACUGACGCUCAUGCACGAAAGCGUGGGGGAGCAAACAGGAUUAGAUACCCUGGUAGUCCACGCCCUAAACGAUGUCAACUAGUUGUUGGGGAUUCAUUUCCUUAGUAACGUAGCUAACGCGUGAAGUUGACCGCCUGGGGAGUACGGUCGCAAGAUU
rnacentral:rRNA from 1 species